rnacentral:rRNA from 1 species
CAGCAGCCGCGGUAAUACGUAGGUGGCAAGCGUUGUCCGGAAUUAUUGGGCGUAAAGCGCGCGCAGGCGGAUCAGUCAGUCUGUCUUAAAAGUUCGGGGCUUAACCCCGUGAUGGGAUGGAAACUGCUGAUCUAGAGUAUCGGAGAGGAAAGUGGAAUUCCUAGUGUAGCGGUGAAAUGCGUAGACAUUAGGAAGAACACCAGUGGCGAAGGCGACUUUCUGGACGAAAACUGACGCUGAGGCGCGAAAGCCAGGGGAGCGAACGGGAUUAGAUACCCGGGUAGUCCCUGUCUCUUAUACA